rnacentral:lncRNA from 1 species
CCGCAAUAUAUAAUCAAUGGAAUAGAAACAUGUAAGAUGAGUUCUUGAAGAUGUGAUUUAAGUCAGAGAAUUUCUAUUAUGACAACGGCUAGACAUACAUAUCAUGACUCGGUACUUAAUUUGAACAAUACAACUUGUUUCUAAACGUGUCUCAUGGGCUAGCUUUUUUGAAAAUGCAAUGGUGAGGAUGACUCUAACAAUGGUUAGUUUAAAAACUAGGCUAAAUGUUUCAAAGAAAUCAAUGUCUUCUUGUUGAUGAAGUUCUUUUUUUUCCUGGUCUUGCUUUUUGUGUGGAAAUGGUGCCAUCAAUAAUGUAUUUGACUUUACGGAUCCGUUUGCGAUCUAUGAUGUUACAGUUUGGGAGAAGAGAAACAAGAUUGUUCGAGGUAUUUUUCCAAUAAAGAGAUUUUAGAAUAGUUUUAAUUGACUUAGGAUGUGUAUUAGUAUCAGUAGUAGAAGUUGAGGAAUAAGUGAUCCUGGACUUAGGUUGAAUAUGUUGAUUAAUAGUAGUUGUUGAGUAUUGAGUGAGCCUAUCUUUUGGUUAUUAGAUAUAUGAUUUGUUUCUACUAUGGAUGAUGAUAUUAGUUAUAGUUGUAUUUUAUACUCGUCUGAAUUCAAGGUGUGAGUUUAAUGGUAGUGGUAGUGGCAUGUCCAUUAGCAAUAAUUGAAGGUGUAUUUGGUGUAUACUGUGGGGUGGAAUUUUGAUUUCCAACUAUAAAUUUAUAGGUAUAAUUAGUGGAUCUAUGUGUUGUGGAGGUAUAGUAGUUAUUUGACUUUGAUGAUGACAAUUGUUAAUUGGUUUAAAAAAUGACAAUUCUAUAAGUCAAACGACAUUUUAUGUGAAUGAUUCAAGAAGUUCUUAGUGACAAUUAUAAAAGGGGAGUUGAUUAUAGUUAUCAAAUGUCGUUAAGCUCGAAAGUGCUAGACAUUGUUGAAUCAAGUAAGGGACUUGAAGAUUUGAAGUUAUGAUCUUUAAGCUUGAAGAUUUGAAGUUGUGAAAGUGUGAAAGUUCAUCUAGUCUCAUGCUUAUGAUUUUUUCCAAGUCUUUGUAAAAGGAACACAUAUAAGUAC